CUACACAUGCAGUCGAGCGGUAGAGAGAAGCUUGCUUCUCUUGAGAGCGGCGGACGGGUGAGUAAUGCCUAGGAAUCUGCCUGGUAGUGGGGGAUAACGCUCGGAAACGGACGCUAAUACCGCAUACGUCCUACGGGAGAAAGCAGGGGACCUUCGGGCCUUGCGCUAUCAGAUGAGCCUAGGUCGGAUUAGCUAGUUGGUGAGGUAAUGGCUCACCAAGGCGACGAUCCGUAACUGGUCUGAGAGGAUGAUCAGUCACACUGGAACUGACACACGGUCCACACUCCUACGGGAGGCAGCAGUGGGGAAUAUUGGACAAUGGGCGAAAGCCUGAUCCAGCCAUGCCGCGUGUGUGAAGAAGGUCUUCGGAUUGUAAAGCACUUUAAGUUGGGAGGAAGGGCAGUAAAUUAAUACUUUGCUGUUUUGACGUUACCGACAGAAUAAGCACCGGCUAACUCUGUGCCAGCAGCCGCGGUAAUACAGAGGGUGCAAGCGUUAAUCGGAAUUACUGGGCGUAAAGCGCGCGUA
rnacentral:rRNA from 1 species